rnacentral:rRNA from 1 species
UACGUAGGUGGCAAGCGUUGUCCGGAUUUACUGGGCGUAAAGAGCGCGCAGGCGGUCGUGCAAGUCGCGUGUGAAAGCCCCCGGCUCAACUGGGGAGGGUCACGCGAUACUGCUCGACUUGAAGGCAGGAGAGGGAAGUGGAAUUCCCGGUGUAGUGGUGAAAUGCGUAGAGAUGUGGAGGAACACCGAUGGCGAAGGCAGCCCCCUGGGCUAACACUGACGCUCAUGCACGAAAGCGUGGGGAGCAAACAGG